rnacentral:rRNA from 1 species
UGGGGAAUAUUGCACAAUGGACGGAAGUCUGAUACAGCAACGCCGCGUGCGGGAUGACGGCCUUCGGGUUGUAAACCGCUUUUUCUCAUGACGAAGUUUUUUGACGGUAGUGGGGGAAGAAGCACCGGCUAACUACGUGCCAGCAGCCGCGGUGAUACGUAGGGUGCGAGCGUUGUCCGGAAUUAUUGGGCGUAAAGAGCUUGUAGGCGGUUUGUCGCGUCGAUAGUGCAAACUCAGUGCUUAACGCUGAGCCUGCUGUUGAUACGGGCAGACUAGAGGAAGGUAGGGGAGAAUGGAAUUCCCGGUGGAGCGGUGGAAUGCGCAGAUAUCGGGAGGAACACCGGUGGCGAAGGCGGUUCUCUGGGCCUUUCCUGACGCUGAGAAGCGAAAGCGUGGGGAGCGAACAGG